AUAGCGUAUAUUAAAGUUGCUGCAGUUAAAAAGCUCGUAGUUGGAUUUCUGGCUUGAAACAUUUUGCCGGCCACGGUUUCGUGUGUUAGUGCUUGAUGUUCUGGCCAUCCUUCCAAUCGCUAUUCAUCUUUCUUCAUUGAGGGGUGAGUGGUAUUGGAUCUUUUACUUUGAAAAAAUUAGAGUGUUUCAAGCAGGCUUUAUGCUAUGAAUACAUUAGCAUGGAAUAAUAAUUUAGGACUUCGGUUCUAUUUUGUUGGUUUCUAGGACUGAAGUAAUGAUUGAUAGGGAUAGUUGGGGGUGCUAGUAUUCAGCGGCCAGAGGUGAAAUUCUCGGAUUCGCUGAAGACUAACUUAUG
rnacentral:rRNA from 1 species